UCUAGAGUUCUUUGUUUUCCACGAUCCUCAAAUAAACUUCCCACUUUCAUCACUUUUCUCAACUGAUCUUUUUCAAAUCACUUUAUAUAUCACUAUUCUCCUCUCAGUUUCACUAAAUCUGCAAAAACUGAAGCUACUUUUUCAAUCACCUCUCGGAAUCGUCCUUUUCGCUCGACCACUGAGCCCGAACAUUAAAAAUAUCCCAUUGCAUCCUCACCGCCCUUGAAGCUUCCCACCGUUUCCAUUGUCUUCUUUCUUUAUUCAGAAAGUACGAUUGUGGUUGUUUGCUACAUGAAGCUUGAUGUCACGUGGUGCAUAUGCUACAAAAAUACAUUUGAAGUUCUUUGUUUUGGCGUUAUUGAUGAUUCCGGAGUUUGUGUGAGUAAACAGUUUCAUGUAUAGUUAACAGUAGCACCACAACAUUGAAGGAAAGAGAGGAAGCACCAGAGGAAAUGGAGAAAAAUGUGAAGAUGAAUAAUAUAUAUUAUUUGAUCACAAAACACCAUAGUGUAAGUAACAUUUAUAUUUUUG